GACGAACGCUGGCGGCGUGCUUAACACAUGCAAGUCGAACGGAAAGGCCUGCUUUCCCUUGUGGAUUGCGGGUACUCGAGUGGCGAACGGGUGAGUAACACGUGAGUGAUCUGCCCCCAACUUGGGUAUAAGCCUGGGAAACUGGGUCUAAUUCCCGAUAGGACUGCAGGGUGGUGCCUGUGGUGGAAGACGAUUUUCUAGUUGUUGGGGAUGAGCUCGCGGCCUAUCAGCUUGUUGGUGGGGUAAUGGCCUACCAAGGCGGCGACGGGUAGCCGGCCUGGGAGGGUGGACGGCCACAUUGGGACUGAGAUACGGCCCAGACGCCUACGGGAGGCAGCAGUGGGGAAUAUUGCACAAUGGGCGGAAGCCUGAUGCAGCGAGGCAGCGUGGGGGAUGACGGCCUUCGGGUUGUAAACUCCUUUCGACCGCGAGGAAGCCACCUGGUUGGAAGGGUGGUGACGGUAGUGGUAGAAGAAGCACCGGCUAACUACGUG
rnacentral:rRNA from 1 species